rfam:Schistosoma mattheei strain Denwood, Zambia genome assembly, scaffold: SMTD_scaffold0002279
AUUCAGCUGACGAGUUCCAAGUAAGACGAAACGCGUCCUGGAU